AUGGAAGCCAACAACAAUCACCUACAGGAAGAAGUGAAGCAGCUGAAGGACAAGAUUGAGACUCUGACACAGAAAAAACUCCAGUUUAACACAAGGAAGAGUCCUGAGGAAUGGAUACGAUUUGCAAGCAACUCUUACUUUAAAUCCACUGAGAGGAAACUCUGGUCUGAGAGCAGGAGAGACUGUCAGGAUAAAGGAGCUGAUCUGGUGAUGAUAAACAGCAAAGAGGAACAGCAAUUUGUUAGUGAACUGAACAUGGGCGGAGAGUCCUGGAUUGGACUGCAAGCCAUCAAAAAACGGAUAUCGAGAUUUGUUUUCAAAUGGGAAUGGCAAUGGAUGAAUGGAUCACCGCUUCAAAAAACGUUCUGGGCACCAGGACAGGAGGAUGCCAGUCCAGAUUACAAUGCAGCAUGUUGUGAUAUAAAUGGAAAAUGGAUCAAACGUUAUGGAUCAAAGACCUUCAUGUGUGAGAAAUGAGUUUGGUGCUUUGAUGUAAAUGUUUGAAUAAUCCAACCAAAGACACCUCACUAUGAAAUGUCCUGCAUGAGCCUCAGACUCAGCUUACAGUUGUUACUUGUUCAUUCUGCAUCAUAUAUUGAUUACAUAUAUUGUCCCUCUGUGCUCUGUGCUGUACAGUAAGGUUGGAAGUCAUCCACACAAAAACUUGAAGUACUUCAUUACUCUGUAGUU